rnacentral:rRNA from 1 species
AACGAACGCUGGCGGCAGGCUUAACACAUGCAAGUCGAACGCUCGUAGCAAUACGGGAGUGGCGGACGGGUGAGUAACGCGUGGGAACGUGCCCUGAGGUACGGAAUAACCGAGGGAAACUUCAGCUAAUACCGUAUGAGCCCCGAGAGGGGGAAAGAUUUAUCGCCUUGGGAGCGGCCCGCGUCGGAUUAGCUAGUUGGUGGGGUAACGGCCUACCAAGGCUUCGAUCCGUAGCUGGUCUGAGAGGACGAUCAGCCACACUGGGACUGAGACACGGCCCAGACUCCUACGGGAGGCAGCAGUGGGGAAUCUUGCGCAAUGGGGGCAACCCUGACGCAGCCAUGCCGCGUGAACGAUGAAGGCCUUAGGGUUGUAAAGUUCUUUCACCCGUGACGAUGAUGACGGUAACGGGGAAUAAGCUCCGGCUAAACUUCGUGCCAGCAGCCGCG